AGCAGUAUGGUGUAAUGAUGCACACAUGAAUCUCAUGACCAAGAAGUACAAGAAUGCAUUCCUGAGGUCCUUGUUCGAAUCAAGGUGCUGCUU